CAGUCACAAUCAUAAUCAAGUUCAAUCAAGUUUGUGUUUUUUACCAUAAAAUGUUAAAAAUUAAAUUAUUGUUUUUUGCAUUAGCUGUUCUGCAGGAUUGGCAUGGAAAUACCCUGAUUCGAGAUGAAUCUGAGCCAGAGCCAGAAGGCGUUACAGAGCCAAGGCCAGAGCCAGAGCCGGAGCCAUAGCCGGUGCCAUAUCCGGAGCCAGAGGUAGAGGAAGAGCCUAAGGAAGAGCCUGAAGACAAGCCAGACGAAGAUCCGGAUAAGAGCCGGAGGAAGAAAGAAGAACCUGAAGUUAGGCCUGAUCAAGAGGCGGAUGAAGAGCCUAAGGAAGAGCCAGAAUUUGAGGCGGAAAUAUAAUGAUUACUUUUUAGCAGACGGGUCAUGAUAAGGGGAAUGGUCAUAUCCGUGGGGGUACAUACAAGGGUUUGGCGUUUUUAAAUUUAAGUCAAUGUUACCUUGAAGGUGUUCAAAAGGUCAAAUGCAUAAUCAAUAAGUAUUUCCAG
rnacentral:lncRNA from 1 species